rnacentral:rRNA from 1 species
CCUACGGGUGGCAGCAGUGAGGAAUAUUGGUCAAUGGGCGUAAGCCUGAACCAGCCAAGUCGCGUGAGGGAUGAAGGUUCUAUGGAUCGUAAACCUCUUUUAUCAGGGGAUACAGUGCGGGACGUGUCCCGUUUUGUAUGUACCUUAUGAAUAAGGAUCGGCUAACUCCGUGCCAGCAGCCGCGGUAAUACGGAGGAUCCGAGCGUUAUCCGGAUUUAUUGGGUUUAAAGGGUGCGUAGGCGGCAUUUUAAGUCAGCCGUGAAAGUGUGUGGCUCAACCAUAGAACUGCCGUUGAAACUGGGGGGCUUGAGUGUGCUUGAGGUAGGCGGAAUGCGUGGUGGAGCGGUGAAAUGCUUAGAUAUCACGCAGAACCCCGAUUGCGAAGGCAGCCUACCGGGGCCUGACUGACGCUGAUGCACGAAAGCGUGGGGAUCAAACAGGAUUAGAUACCCCAGUAGUC